AUUGAACGCUGGCGGCAGGCUUAACACAUGCAAGUCGAGCGGGGUGAUGGUGCUUGCACUAUCACUUAGCGGCGGACGGGUGAGUAAUGCUUAGGAAUCUGCCUAUUAGUGGGGGACAACAUCUCGAAAGGGAUGCUAAUACCGCAUACGUCCUACGGGAGAAAGCAGGGGAUCACUUGUGACCUUGCGCUAAUAGAUGAGCCUAAGUCGGAUUAGCUAGUUGGUGGGGUAAAGGCCUACCAAGGCGACGAUCUGUAGCGGGUCUGAGAGGAUGAUCCGCCGCACUGGGACUGAGACACGGCCCAGACUCCUACGGGAGGCAGUAGUGGGGAAUAUUGGACAAUGGGGGGAACCCUGAUCCAGCCAUGCCGCGUGUGUGAAGAAGGCCUUAUGGUUGUAAAGCACUUUAAGCGAGGAGGAGGCUCUUUUGGUUAAUACCCAAGAUGAGUGGACGUUACUCGCAGAAUAAGCACCGGCUAACUCUGUGCCAGCAGCCGCCGUAA
rnacentral:rRNA from 1 species